CAUCUUAAUGCCCUCUCCUUUUUGUACUGAAGCAGGACCCACUGGGCGUGACGCACGGGCGAGUGCGGGUGAGGGUGCAAUAUGUACAUUUACACAGGAUCGAGGUUAGCAAGCAUGUAGAGUCCUUUAGUUUUUUCCAUCUCCGGGAGAAGUGUUAUUUUAAUAGGAUGUUUCCAGAGUGCGUGCGAGUGACGCGCCCGUCCCGGCCGCCUUUCAUCCACAGGUCCAACUUCUGCCACAGGUCCAAAUCUUUUGCUGCUGGGCUACCUACUGCCAGUACAGUCUGGGUUGUUGCCUGACUGGUUCCAGAGAAGAAAAAAGAGCAACAAUAUGAGUUAAUCUUCAGAAAUAUACGGCUGCAGAGAAGAGGUGCACUAUAAACUCCCGUCCAUGAGGGCAGCAGGAUUGUCCCAGAUCCCAUGCUCCAUCCAACCUUUUCUUUCACUCUCUCUCACUUUCCAGGUCCUGUCUUCCCUGGUUUGGUCUUUCACUGUCUGCACUCCCUCCCUCUCCCUCUCUGUUUCUGUCUCCAAUCUGCACAGUGGCUAGGCUACUCUAGCUGCAGGCUAUUUUCUUUGGUGGACUUUAGAAAUAUGCAAAUGCAGCAGUUGACAACUGCAGAGAGAAGAAGAAAAGAGAAACAACUCUGCAUCUAUGUUCCUUGAGCUGUCAGCUCUCAAAGACAUAUCAUUUACUUGUUCCUUUCUCUGUACAUCCCUCUAUCAAAGGAGUGGUGCAAGACUUACCGAUAGAAGAAGUGAGAGGGAGAGAAAAGAUCAGGCUCAAAGGAUAGAAGGAAAUUAUAUGUCAAUCGUCCUCCAUUGCUCAGUUGGUUAUUUCUACUCUCCCUCCUUUUCUCCCUCUCCCUCUCCCUCUCCCUCUCCCUCUCCCUCUCUCUCUCAAUGCCCCUCACACACACACUAUUGUAAAUCCUAAGAGACUGCAGGAUUCUCUUUCUCUCUCUCUCUCUCUCUCUCUCUCUCUCUCUCUCUCUCUCUCUCUCUCUCUCUCUCUCUCUCUCUCUCUCUCUCUCUCUUGCUCUCUCGCUCUCUCGCUCUCUCUCGCUCUCUCGCUCUCUCUCUCUCUCUCAAUGCCCCCCCACACACUAUUGUAAAUCCUAAGAGACUGCAGUCCCUUUCAGAGGCUUGGUUGGUUUUCUCUAUUAGUGCGACCUCCUUGGCUGGACGGGGAUGGCCCCUACUCUUUGUCCCCUUGUUAGAGCAAACCUUUAGAGAGGUGUCUGUGUGUGUUGAGAGAAAAAUAAAAGUCUCUCUCUUUCCCACAGAGCUCUUCUACCCUUACAAGCGGCCCCUCAUGACGUAAUGUUUGUGGAGAUCAUCAGCUCGUUCAUACACACAGUUUUAGUGUACAUAGACAGUGAUGUCACAGUGAUGUCACAGAGUAGUCAAAGUUGGGGGUAAGGAAAGGGGUGUGUUCAAUCCAAUGGCUAUAUACAUUAAUGGAUAAAGACAUCGAUCACAUGACACCAUUCAUUCCUAUGUGAAGACUCAAUAGCGCAUUGAAGCCAAAUGAAGUCAGUUAAGAUGUAAUCUCAUGGAGACAUAACAUGCUCAGUUUGAGUGCUGCCCCCUCUCAUUGACUAACUCAAAUUGAAGGCCGACCAGGGUACUGCAGGCUGCCAUUAGCAACUAAAUUAACCUUAUUUGUGUUAGAUGAAAAACAUAUUGGUUCAAGGACAUACAUCUGGUGUAUUAGAAGCAAUUAUUGGUACUAUGAUAGUCUUAAAAUGUUUAUAUUUUAAUGAAGAUUGACAGUUUUCCAUUUUUUCCAUGCCUUGAACCACUGUGGCUUCAAUGAGAGGUGUAUGAUCAGUGUAUUCAGUCUCUCUCUCUCUGUCUCUCUGUCUCUCUGUCUCUCUCUCUCUCUUCCUCUGUCUCUCUUUUUCC